GACGAACGCUGGCGGCGUGCUUAACACAUGCAAGUCGAACGGAAAGGCCCUGCUUUUGUGGGGUGCUCGAGUGGCGAACGGGUGAGUAACACGUGAGUAACCUGCCCUUGACUUUGGGAUAACUUCAGGAAACUGGGGCUAAUACCGGAUAGGAGCUCCUGCUGCAUGGUGGGGGUUGGAAAGUUUCGGCGGUUGGGGAUGGACUCGCGGCUUAUCAGCUUGUUGGUGGGGUAGUGGCUUACCAAGGCUUUGACGGGUAGCCGGCCUGAGAGGGUGACCGGCAACAUUGGGACUGAGAUACGGCCAAGACUCCUACGGGAGGCAGCGGUGGGGAAUAUUGCAAAAUGGGCGGAAGCCUGAUGCAGCAACGCCGCGUGCGGGAUGACGGCCUUCGGGUUGUAAACCGCUUUCGCCUGUGACGAAGCGUGAGUGACGGUAAUGGGUAAAGAAGCACCGGCUAACUACGU
rnacentral:rRNA from 1 species